rnacentral:lncRNA from 1 species
UUCCUUCUUCACAGUGUCGAUCUCUUCCUCCAUUACUUUUUUCAUCUCAGCCAACUUACCUUCAAGUUCUUUCUUCAUAGCAUCAAACUUCAAAGCUUGAUCAGCUAGUGCACCAUCCAAUUCAUCAUCAAUCUCCAUCAUUCUACUAUCCACCUUUUGUGUAGUUUCUGUUUCACAUCCAAUAGGUUCACACCAUAGAAAAAAUCCACAAUUUUCUUCUGGUUUCUCGUGCUUGCAACGGUAAAACAACCGAUUACGAUUUUCCUCAGUCAUUGCGACCUUAAUAACAGCUACAUUUCGACA